GGCCGGAACGGUUCGGCAGGCUCCCGGCCGCCCCGUUUUAAGGGCGGGAAUUCGAUUUUGAUUACGUCCCUGCCCUUUGUACACACCGCCCGUCGCUGCCCGGGACUGAGCCAUUUCGAGAAACUCGGGGACGGUUAGCGUGCCGGCUUCGGUCGUCGCGCAGAUUGGAACCGAUUUAAUCGCAGUGGCUUGAACCGGGCAAAAGUCGUAACAAGGUAGCUGUAGGUGAACCUGCUGCUGGAUCAUUACC
rnacentral:rRNA from 1 species